ACAGAAGUCUAGUUGCAGCCACUGAAAAAACUCUUAUCACUAAACUUGAGGAACCAGGGCUGAAUGGCUGACCACCCUGACCAUGAACAUCUGGAAUUUAGGUUGCUCUGCUGGACAUAGAUAUUUGUGGACCAUCAAUCCCUAAAAUAAUGGGUAUAGAGGGAGAAGAGGUUCACUUGAGUGGUUCUGGAUGGCCUCCGGUGGUAAGUCAGUGAGUAAGCUGAAGAAAACUUAAGUGUCAUGUCAGUGGUCCUCUUGCUCAGUGGUCCUGAUGAUGCUGUUAUCUGGAAAGGACCCCAAAAAAUGGAAUGAUCAAACAAUUUCUUUGUGAUGUGCAGUUGGGUGAAAUUAAUUACCUUAUUGUGGAUACACCUUCAGGUACUUCAGAUGAACAUUUAUCUAUUGUGCAUAUCUAAGUUCCGCAUACAUAAUCACUACCCCUCAGGAAAUAUCACUUCAGGACAUUUGAAAGGAGAUCAACUUCUGUCAUAAGGUAAAACUGCCAGUCAUAGGUGGUGUUGAAAAUUUGAGUGGCUUUGUAUGCCCAAAAUGUAAGGGAAAAGUUGUGAUAAAGGCCAAUCUUUUUUGUCUGAAAUACCUGAGUCCCCAGCUACUUCAUCUUACAGGAAUAUCAUCCAAAGGAUUCAAGAAUAUUGUGGCCUACACAACUCACAAGAAAAAUUAUCUAACCAAGGAAUGGAAUAAAUGUGCAGUUAAUUACAGGAAAGCAACUAUUGUGUCCUGAAUUGAGAAGAAGAAUGUAAAGACUUGUACUCCUUUUCUAUAUUACAAGUAAAUAACUUUUAAGUUAA